CCCUUAGAUGUUCUGGGCCGCACGCGUGCUACACUGAGUGGAUCAGCGGGUCAGGUUGCGCGAAAGUGUUUCCUAAUCUUUAAAUCCGCUCGUGAUGGGGAUUGACGGUUGCAAUUUUCCGUCAUGAACGAGGAAUACCUUGUAAGCGCGGGUCAUCAUCCCGCGCUGAAUACGUCCCUGCCCUUUGUACACACCGCCCGUCGCUCCUACCGAUUGAGUGGUCCGGUGAGGCUUUGGGAUCUGAGCGGAAAGAGCGUUUCGCUGUUUCUGCUCGGAAAACUCAGUCGAACCUUCUCAUUUAGAGGAAGGAGAAGUCGUAACA
rnacentral:rRNA from 1 species